AUUGAACGCUAGCGGGAGGCUUAACACAUGCAAGUCGAGGGGCAGCAUAGGGUAGCAAUACUCUGAUGGCGACCGGCAAACGGGUGAGUAACGCGUAUGCAACCUACCCUGUACAGGGGGAUAACCCGGAGAAAUUCGGACUAAUAUCCCGUAAUAAUAUCCGGAGGCAUCUUUGGAUAUUUAAAGUUCCGACGGUACGGGAUGGGCAUGCGUAACAUUAGCUGGUUGGUAAGGUAACGGCUUACCAAGGCUAUGAUGUUUAGGGGUCCUGAGAGGGUGGUCCCCCACACUGGUACUGAGACACGGACCAGACUCCUACGGGAGGCAGCAGUGAGGAAUAUUGGUCAAUGGGCGCAAGCCUGAACCAGCCAUCCCGCGUGCAGGAAGACGGCCCUAUGGGUUGUAAACUGCUUUUCCAGGGAGAGAAACUUACGCACGUGUUGCGUGACUGACGGUACCCUGGGAAUAAGCAUCGGCUAACUCCGUG
rnacentral:rRNA from 1 species